GUGGGGAAUAUUGGACAAUGGGCGAAAGCCUGAUCCAGCCAUGCCGCGUGAGUGAUGAAGGCCUUAGGGUUGUAAAGCUCUUUCUGUAGGGAAGAUAAUGAUGGUACCUACAGAAGAAGCCCCGGCUAACUUCGUGCCAGCAGCCGCGGUAAUACGAAGGGGGCUAGCGUUGUUCGGAUUUACUGGGCGUAAAGCGCACGUAGGCGGAUUGGUCAGUUAGAGGUGAAAUCCUGGAGCUCAACUCCAGAACUGCCUUUAAUACUGCCAGUCUAGAGUCCAGAAGAGGUGAGUGGAACUCCUAGUGUAGAGGUGGAAUUCGUAGAUAUUAGGAAGAACACCAGUGGCGAAGGCGGCUCACUGGUCUGGUACUGACGCUGAGGUGCGAAAGCGUGGGGAGCAAACAGGAUUAGAUACCCGGGUAGUCC
rnacentral:rRNA from 1 species